GAUGAACGCUGGCGGCGUGCCUAACACAUGCAAGUCGAACGGAGAUUACGGACGGAAGUUUUCGGAUGGAAGACUGUAAUUCUUAGUGGCGGACGGGUGAGUAACGCGUGGGCAACCUGCCCUAUACAGGGGGAUAGCAGCUGGAAACGGCUGGUAAGACCGCAUGAGUCGGUUAAAUCGCAUGAUUUGAUCGGGAAAUGAGCAAUCAGGUAUAGGAUGGGCCCGCGUCCGAUUAGCCAGUUGGCAGGGUAAAAGCCUACCAAAGCGACGAUCGGUAGCCGGACUGAGAGGUCGGACGGCCACAUUGGGACUGAGACACGGCCCAAACUCCUACGGGAGGCAGCAGUGGGGGAUAUUGCACAAUGGAGGAAACUCUGAUGCAGCGACGCCGCGUGAGUGAAGAAGUAUUUCGGUAUGUAAAGCUCUAUCAGCAGGGAAGAUGAUGACGGUACCUGACUAAGAAGCCCCGGCUAACUACGUG
rnacentral:rRNA from 1 species